rnacentral:tRNA from 1 species
UGGGGUGUAGCCAAGCGGUAAGGCAACGGCUUUUGGUGCCGUGAUGCGAAGGUUCAAAUCCUUCCACCCCAG